GAUGAACGCUGGCGGCGUGCCUAAUACAUGCAAGUCGAGCGAACAGACGAGGAGCUUGCUCCCCUGACGUUAGCGGCGGACGGGUGAGUAACACGUGGAUAACCUACCUGUAAGACUGGGAUAACUUCGGGAAACCGGAGCUAAUACCGGAUAAUAUAUUGAACCGCAUGGUUCAAUAGUGAAAGACGGUUUUGCUGUCACUUAUAGAUGGAUCCGCGCCGCAUUAGCUAGUUGGUAAGGUAACGGCUUACCAAGGCGACGAUGCGUAGCCGACCUGAGAGGGUGAUCGGCCACACUGGAACUGAGACACGGUCCAGACUCCUACGGGAGGCAGCAGUAGGGAAUCUUCCGCAAUGGGCGAAAGCCUGACGGAGCAACGCCGCGUGAGUGAUGAAGGUCUUCGGAUCGUAAAACUCUGUUAUUAGGGAAGAACAAAUGUGUAAGUAACUAUGCACGUCUUGACGGUACCUAAUCAGAAAGCCACGGCUAACUACGUG
rnacentral:rRNA from 1 species